GUCUUUUAAAAAAUAAAAGAUGAAUCCUGCCCAGUGAUUCUUAAUUUAAUAAUAUUAAAAUAUUAAAAUAGAAUUAAACGGAAGCGGUAACUAUGACCGUAAUAAUGUAGCGUAAUCAUUAGCCAUUUAAUUGGUGGAUAGUAUGAAAGGACAAACGAAUAUUUCACUGUCUUAAAGAGAGAUUAUAUAAAAUUGGGAUAAUAGUGAAGAUACUAUUUAAGAUUGUAAGACGAAAAGACCCUAUAGAGCUUGACUAUAAUCUUUAUAAAAAUUUUUUAUAAAGAUUGGUAGUUUAGUUGGGGCGACUGUUUUUUAAAAUUAACAAAAACAAACAAUAUUAAUCAAAUAAUUUAUUAUAUAAUUUAUAAAUUUAAUAAUUACUAAAGUAGGUGAUAAUGAUCCGUUAUAUCUCAAUAAGUCAGAAUAACGUUUAAUAAAUAAAAGCUACCUUAGGGAUAACAGGAUAAUUUUGUGUUAGAGUUCUAAUUAAACACAAAGUUUGUCACCUCUAUGUUGAAUUAAGAUAUCCUGAUGGUGCAGAAGCUAUCAAAGGUAGGUCUGUUCGACCUUUAAAAUCUU
rnacentral:rRNA from 1 species